rnacentral:rRNA from 1 species
GCGGGAAUAUUGGGCAAUGGACGAAAGUCUGACCCAGCGACGCCGCGUGAGGGAUGAAGCUUCUCGGAGCGUAAACCUCAAACGGAUAGGGACGAAAAGCCUAUCGGCUAAUAUCCGGUAGGCCUGACGGUACCUGUUACGAAGCUCCGGCUAACUCCGUGCCAGCAGCCGCGGUAAUACGGGGGGAGCGAGCGUUGUUCGGAAUUACUGGGCGUAAAGGGCGUCUAGGCGGGUCGGUCAGUCAGAAGUGAAAACUCCCGGCUUAACUGGGAGCCUGCUUUUGAAACUGCCGGUCUUGAGUGUGGAAGAGGUGCGGGGAAUUCUCAGUGUAGCGGUGAAAUGCGUAGAUAUUGGGAAGAAUGCCGGUGGCGAAGGCGCCGCACUGGUCUAACACUGACGCUGAAGCGCGAAAGCGUGGGGAGCAAACAG